rnacentral:lncRNA from 10 species
AGAAGACCUCCUUGAGAAGAAAACGGAACAUGGCCCUAACAGUGGGCAGCAUGAAACUGAGGAACACAGCAGGAAGCUGAUUUAGGCAAACUCAGCAGGAAGUGUUCCCUGUGAACCCAUGAGACUUCAUCCCUGCGUUGGUCUGGCUGGCUUUCCCUGUGAGAUACAGGUUCCUCCUGAAGAGCUGAAGCUCCAUUCCAGCUCUAGACUUCUCCUUGCUUUCAGACUUCAAGAUGAGAAGCAUUUUUCCAGUCCACAAGUGUUAGAGGACACUGCCGAUGAUGUGUGUUUUGCCCAGGCUGGACUCAGCUUCUUUGUCUCGCCUGGCGAAGAGGCAGUGCUGUGCCAGGAAAUAGCACCCAGGCAGGACUCCAGGGUGGGGACCGCUAAUCUGGCUUUGCCACAAAAUGUACACUUGAUAAGAGUAGGGGUCUUGCCUGCCUUAUCCACUGCAUAGCUCCAGUCAAGAGAAGUCAUUGCCACGGAAAAGGCACCCAACAAACAUGCCUUUAACUUGUUGAAUGAACCCAUCAAAUUCCUGAUAGUGGAAGUUUGGACACUGGAGUCGCAGGUGGGGAAAGAAACCAUGAUGCAAUAGGACCCCAAUUACACGUGGGUUCUGCUUAUGUUAGAAAAGCUUCCUGACUUUGUGUGCAGUCAAGUCCUGUGGCUUGUGGCCAAGGGAGGAUCUUUUCUUUUUUACCCAUGGAAGAUGACAUUGGUAUGUUGGAGUAAUGAUCCAGAAGAUAAACAUGAAUACAGACAAAUUCUGAAUUUGGAUUCAAAUAACAAGUUGCACAAAAACAAGGUAGGAGAGAUGUUUCUUGACAAUAAUUUGUAGAAAAACGUUACGUUUUGGCCGACUCAUUGUGAAUUAAUGGCAUGAAUAGCUGUUAAAAUUUUAUACUAGUAAUGGAAUAUCAUGUCUAAUAAUACAAAAAAAUCAACAUUCUAUGUGGCCACGAUUUAUGCUGCACUAACCAUGUACCAAGUACUGUGCUUAAUGCUUUUUUAUACGUGACUACAACUCCUGAAAACCACAUUAUUAUGUUCAUUUUAUGAAUGGAGAAACUUAGGUUCAAAGAGUUUAACUUGGCCAGGACACAGAGCUAGGACAUGAUGAAACCAAGUAUAUCUGACUGAAAAAGCUGUUGUUCUUCACCACUGAUUUUCUUGGUGCUCUAUGUGGGCCUGAACAUAUCUAGGACAUUUGGACUCAGUUGUAGAAGAUACAUUUUAAGACAGACAAUAACCAAACAGCGGCUUCAUAGGGAGGCUAUUAGCAUAUUAAAGAAUAUGGAAACCACAGCAUGUGGGGAAUGUUCAAAGAGAAGGGGGAUGUUUUGUGCAGAGGAGAGACAAUGGGAGGUGGAGGUCAAGAAUGAAAGGGUAUCAAAUGGAAGAGAGCAGACAUGUCCUGUGUGGCUCCAAAUGGCAGAACUGGAAUAGCAGAUGGAAGUUACAGUGAAGCAGAUUUCAGCUUGACACAAGAACUAACUUUCUAAAGAACAGAGAUGUGGGAUGAAGCUCUUGAACUCAUCCCCCUCCUCCCUCCAAGCCUGAACAGCCAUCUGUCAAAGAUGUUGGAUUUCAGGAAGGAGAACCUUCCACCUCUAAGAGUCUGAGAUUUUCUAGACGAGUUUAAAGUUUAUUUAAAAGAAAGGUAAAGACCAUUUGAGCUGAUUUAACAUGAAUCUUGUCUGGGGGCUGGGGGACUAUAUUAGAGUCUGAGUUCCUUUCAGCCUUUUGAGCAGGUAACUCUUCUAUUGGGGCCAUAACUGAGGCAUAUUUUAAAUCAGAAAGGGAGAAUAUCGUUUUUAUUCUGAAUCUGAAUACUCCUUAAAAAUAAUAAUUGUUGGAUGGUAUUUUUGUAUUUAAUUCAUUUCAGUCUUUCCUGUGUGUUUAUUUUGUGUUCAGCCCUGCAUAGGUGAUAAAUUUGUAACCAUACCCCCUCUCUAGCCCAUCCCUCUUUAAUACCACCCUAGGACAAGACCAUGAAUAGUCCUGCCUUUCAUGGCGCCUCCAAUUCCUCCUUUCCCUGAGGUACAUACAGGCAUUGUGCAUACAGAAGUUACCUGUGUUUGUAAUUCACAAACCCCAAAGAGCAGUGAAGAAAAAAGGAAUGAAUCCUACAUGAUUACAAAGAAGGAGGGGACAAAGCUGGCUCCAGGUACUCAGUUAUUUCUGAGUAUUGCUCUGUGCGUGGCACUGUGCUGUACAUUGAGGAUAUGAAGAUGAGUAAGUCUCAGUCUAUAUCUUUAGAGACCUCACAGCCUGGAAAGAGAGUUAAAAAAUAAUUACUAUUCAACAUGGCAAUGGUUAUAAAGGAGCAGAUUUUCCAAACUGGUGUUUCAAGGAACAUUCUUUGGCAGGAUGUUAAAAACAGGAAACAGCAAGCCUGAAAAAGGAAAUUGACGAAGAAACAAUUUGGUUAUUCUUGACUCAGUGGCCAAGGAGGGAACACAGCCAGACUGAGCUCCUCUCUGCUUCCCAAACAGGACAUGUACUUUUCUCUAUCUUUGCAUCAUCUGCUCAUAUUGUUCCCUACUCUUGGAAUGCCCUUCCCAAGCCCUCUAUGUGCAUGCGCCAUCCAGGAACUGGGAUGAUAACUCUUGGACGAAAUAGGAACUGUUGAGAAGCAGCAGGAAGUGGGUCACCUUAAACACAGAAGAAACCAAAGGAAAGAUUUGUUUAAAAUGAACUGGAACUUGAGGCUAGGAAGUUCCUGGAUACCUAGACAGCUGGAAGAGGAGCAUGAACCAGGAGGCCAGAAGAGACUUCACUCCAAUCUGGUGCCCUCACUAUGGCACAACUCAUCCAAAGAGAAAAGCUCCAUGAAAACAUGUUGAGCAAAAUUAUUCGUUCUCAUUUCUUAACGUAGCUUUCUGAUUUAAUAGUAAAAAAAUGCUUGUUUUGGUUUAAAUUUCUCUAGUUUUUAGAUACCAUUUUCUCUCCCAAACUAGGUCAUUUGAAUUAUCUGCUGAUAGUUCAAAUCUGUAGAUAAUUUGCUUUUACUCACAUUCCUAAGAACUAAUUACCUGUACAUAUAAAAUGAUGAAAUCUCAUUAUAUUUUCUUUUAAAACUCUGACAUGCAUUUAAUUACAUUAGUCAAUUAUUACUGUACAUGCUGAGGAUUUGCUAUUGACCAGCUCGUGCUGGAAUAUUUACUGCACAGAUGUGUUACUUUAAUUAAACAAAUGUGAUUACACACAUAUCAAUUUUUAUUUGGUUUCAAAGCCCAGAAUCUAAAAGUGACGCAGUUGGCAGAGCUGUGUGGUGCGGUGCUGGUUCCCAGGAACACAGCAAGAGGCACUUUACUGAGGGAACGCUGCGUGCCUGCAACUCUGCGUGGGAGACUUCAGCCACAAGUGGGUUUUUGUCUGUGUGUAAGUGCCAUUGAGUGAACCCAAGAAGGGAACAAACAAACCAGCCCUGAAUCUUUCUAGCACAUGUUCAGCUUUGCUCUCUUAUAUAUAGGAAAUGAGGGACAGUGCUUGGAGAACCUGCAGGAAAACUAAUCUAAAAGCCAGUCCAUUUGAGAGUGGGAGUUGCUUGGAACUGGUGCUUGGUUAAAUAGGCCAGCUGGUAUUUCUCUUUAAAAUCAGGGAUGAAGUUGGAUGACAUUAGAACAUUGAACUUGGUCUCUUGGGCUUUUCCUGCCAUAUCCUACAGCAACUCCCUAAGCCAUGAGGUUGGCAUCAAGAAAGGAGACCAUCUCUCAGUGCCUUGUCUGAAGCAAGCAGUCCUGAGGAACAAUAUGAAGACUGAGAUGGAAAAUCUAAAUGUGCUUUACAAACUAGAGAAAUGUAAAAUUCUCUAUAACUCUUGAUAAAAUGAUUCCACAUACCAGGCACAGAGUAAAUAGUCUUGGUUAUUAAUAAAGGCAGUAAGUCAACUCAUUAAUCAACAAACACUGAGCACUGUAUGAACUGAUUUCUGGUG